rnacentral:tRNA from 1 species
GCGUCGUGGACGAGGAUGUCCGCCUCGUUCUGCGGGGUGACGUCGACCACCCGCAGGUCGCCGGUGGCCGCGUCGCGGACGACGCCC